AACUAAAAAUAUCAUUACUCAUCAUUCUGUAACUCUAGUGUAUAUUAGUGUGUCUGUUGUAAAUCCUGCCCACUUGUUUGCAUUGUGACACAUGCUUCAGUGCUCUGAGAGUGUUUAUAGUGCUGUGAGUUUAACACUUCAUGACUGAGAGCAGAACAGAACACAAUCUUCAUCAUCACACAAGACAAAAGAACAACAAUGAACACAAUCACCUUCUUCAUCUGGACUCUCACUCUGUUUGCUCAAGAGUGUAGAGGACAGAUCACUGUAACUCAGAGUCCAUCAAUAAUUCAGGCUCAACCAGGACAAGAAGUCAAAAUAAACUGUAAAACCAGCAGUAGAGUGGAUGGUGGUAACGAGUUAGCCUGGUACUUACAGAAAUCUGGAGAAGCUCCUAAACUCCUCAUAUAUUAUGCAACAAGCCGUUAUACUGGAACUCCAUCUAGAUUCAGUGGCAGUGGAUCUAACACUGAUUUCACUCUGACCAUCAGUGGAGUCCAGACUGAAGAUACAGGAGAUUAUUACUGUCAGAGUGAACACUGGAUCAACAGUAAAGGCUGCAUCCUCAAGAGGACGAAUCCUGUGAAGGAUGCGGUAUAUGGAGUGUCCUUAGCCAGAAUUAAAAACAAGACGUCCUUCAUAGGACACACAGUCAGGAAAGGAAACAGGAAGUAUAUCGUUGCUAUGCCAACGCGUUCACGGCAGCCUUGUUGCGCUCUCAGCAAAUGAAUGAAAAUUAUUAAUAAAUUUGUAAAGUAAUUUGAAAAGAAAAUGUAUUUACUUGUUUUAUUUUGGUUAAUGCUUGAGGAGCUGGCUUAUGUACAUCAGAUAUCUGUUACAGAGACAAAGGAGGAGGAUAUUAAGAA